AUUGAACGCUGGCGGCAUGCUUUACACAUGCAAGUCGAACGGUAACAGGCCGCAAGGUGCUGACGAGUGGCGAACGGGUGAGUAAUGCAUCGGAACGUGCCCAGUCGUGGGGGAUAACUACUCGAAAGAGUAGCUAAUACCGCAUACGAUCUAUGGAUGAAAGCGGGGGACCGUAAGGCCUCGCGCGAUUGGAGCGGCCGAUGUCAGAUUAGGUAGUUGGUGGGGUAAAGGCUCACCAAGCCAACGAUCUGUAGCUGGUCUGAGAGGACGACCAGCCACACUGGGACUGAGACACGGCCCAGACUCCUACGGGAGGCAGCAGUGGGGAAUUUUGGACAAUGGGCGCAAGCCUGAUCCAGCAAUGCCGCGUGCAGGAAGAAGGCCUUCGGGUUGUAAACUGCUUUUGUACGGAACGAAACGGCUCUGGUUAAUACGCGGGGCUAAUGACGGUACCGUAAGAAUAAGCACCGGCUAACUACGUG
rnacentral:rRNA from 1 species